AAGAGCACAUGACAAAACACCAAAUAACUCCAAACAGGACAGAGGACCUUAAAUCAUGGAAUUUGUUAAUAUCUGGAUAAAGUUGAAAAAAAUCUAUGUUUCUGACAUAAAUAAGCAAACUGGCCAUCUCUCCAACCAGGUGGAAGUCUACGAUAUGAUUAUUUGCAUCCCAUGUAUUGUGUGGUCUUCACUCUUUCUUAGCCCCGGUAGAGACAUUAUAUAUAACUCGUAUUAGAUCUCCUCACUCUUUUGCAGUGUUGGGAAUGUUACUUUUACAAAGUAAUUAGAGUUACUGAUUACUUUGUCAAAAAAGUAACUCAGCUACUAACUGAGUUACAAGAUUAUAAAAGUAACUAAUUACCAAGAAAAAUAACUAUUUAGUUACUUUUUUCAUUAAAGCAUGAAAGAAUGACUACAAUAGUGAAAUAUAAAUGACUAAUGACUGGAACAUAAUAAAAUGUAUGUCCAAAUGUUUUUUAUAAACCUGAAUAAUUUAAAUAAAUAAGCACUUAACAGGAGGAACUACUAAUAGGAGCAUUACACUUAUCUAAACUAUUAAAAGGUCACUUUGUGAUAUUUAACAAGACCCCAAUCAGCUAACAUUUAUAAUUGCAAAUAGAAACACCUGUAAAGGUUCCCGAGCCUUUAAAUGGUCUCUCAGUCUAGUUAAAUUGCAGAAAUAAAUAUAAUUUUGCACAGCAUUUUUAUUUUUCCAGCUUCACAUAAUUGUGUGUUAUUAGUAGCAUUUCUGUUGCUGGUAAUCUAGUAACGGUUAAAUAAAUAAAAAAAUAAAAUCCUUUAAAAUGACACUAGAAGAGGCACAAGCCUGAUGGUGUCAUGAGCCAGGGUGAGUACUCCUGUUCUCAUAACCAUCUGUGAGUCUCUUGCCAGGAGAGGGAGUGGCCCAGCUGUUCCUGAUCAGCAAUCAGCGGGGUGCUUUCCUAUUUAAGGUGGAUGGUGGACACACUUCGACGCCGGAAGAUUGCCUCAGUUUUGGAUUCCUGUCGACCUCAUUGGAUACUGACCUCUACUCCAGGAUUUGGAUAUUCAACACACGGACCAUAUCACCACCCUCCAUAACCCACCUCUCAUCUCACCCAGUGCCCCAUCCACCAGGACGCCCCGCUUCUCUCCACCUCUGCUCCCUCUCCUGCGCUUCCCCCGGCUCUCUACCUCUCCCUCCUCCAGCCAACACAUACACCCACCACAACGCUGAGCUGUUGUUGCAGUUCCAACCACAGACUUAUCUGUGCACCUUAAGUUCCUCCUUAUAAAUAAAUCAUUUUUUCCAUCAGUUUUUGGUCAGUGUUGUAUUCUGCAUGUCUUGGGUUAAGUACCUUCCUCCAAACAUGACACUCCUCUUCAAAGAGCAAAUCUGUUCAGCACAUUCUGACAGACAGACCACCAUUCUUCUGUCAUGAUGCUGUACAGGACAUUUUUAGAGUUUUUCUUUUUAAAGAUAAAUAGGAUUACAUUUAAAUAGCAAUACUUUCACAUUAUC
rnacentral:lncRNA from 1 species